UACGGAGGGUGCAAGCGUUAUCCGGAUUCACUGGGUUUAAAGGGUGCGUAGGCGGGUUUGUAAGUCCGGGGUGAAAGCUCCGGGCUUAACUUGGAAACUGCCAUUGAUACUGUAUAUCUUGAAUGUCGUAGAGGUUAGCGGAAUGUUGCAUGUAGCGGUGAAAUGCUUAGAUAUGUUACAGAACACCAAUUGCGAAGGCAGCUAACUAUGCGAUGAUUGACGCUGAGGCACGAAAGCGUGGGGAGCAAACAGG
rnacentral:rRNA from 1 species